GAACACACGAGGCUCCUCCCUGAGCUGGAGUGGAAUAUGGUAUUUGCUAGACCGACCGAGCUCCUCCGAGGGCGAUUACCUCCUGGGACUUUUCAAAAAUGCCUCAUCCCAAGGAACGCCCCAAGGGUCUAGAACUGCCCAUCCCAGGUCAACUGGGAAGAAGGAAAGACAAGAAAAGAACGUACAACCUGCAAAUAAUAGUAAGGGAGUAAGUGGAAAUAUGAAAUAAAUACUGAUGCGCCUGCCCCAUCUGGUCACACAGUGCUUUGAAGAAAGGCCCUUCCUUUGGGGAAAAUGACAAAGAAUUCGGCCUUCAUCAUCAAUGCUGGAGAAUAAGACAGACCUGUUCACUUCCCCUUCGGCAUGUGACGUUUGGAACACAGAUUUACGUGAGGAGCAGGAAAAGAUCAUCUCGGGCUCCUGCUGCUGCUGUCCAGCCUCCCUGGCUCUGUGCGAAGAGUGUCCUCCCAAGGCACCUGGACGUCCCACCUUUGAGAGAGAUUUGCACACACCGUGACCCACGAGCAGGUCCUUGGGGCCAGAAGGAGCCUCCACUGUCAGCACAAGAGCAUCACCGCCAAGUCAGACAGCUUCUUGGAAAAUAAAAAGUGAAGUCGCAGAACAAAACAAAAACUCUCUCUUCAAACUGCUGUCUCUCCCUGCCGUGUGAGGACAACAGUGGAAAAGCAGCCAUCUGCAAGCCAAGAAGAAAGCUCCAACCAGAACCCAGGCAUGCUGGCACCCACAUCUCAGAUGUUUAUCUUCCAGAACUGUAAGAAAAUAACAUAUCUGUUGUUUAAGCCACCUAGUCUAUGGUAUUUUGUUCUGGCAGCCAGAGCUAGCUAGGACAGGACUAAGUGGUCCUCUGAGCCAACCUUCUUAUUUUACACAGAUCCAAAGGGACACAGAGCAGACCAGGAUCAAAACCCAGCCCAUUCUCUAACCCACAGCCCACAGCUCUAGCCAAUGAAACAAGCUUGCCAAAUAGUGCAGAAUGAAAGAACAGGCAGAAAGCAAAAGUAUAUUUUUCUUAAACAUUUCGAUACCUUUAAACUCUUUUUUAGACUAGCUUUGAAAUAACAUUUAACUGAAGGUCCAAGGGGACCUCCAGAAAGGUGUGAAGUUGAGAAUUUGGCUUACAAGGCUUCCAAAGAUGAGAAAGGGAGAGGCCUACCUUUUGGUUAUAAUGAAAUUGUAAUUACAGCGUUGUGAGUUAUGCAAAGGAGAGCAGACAACAGGAUUCACAACCCCAUGAAAUUUCUUGUAUCUGUAUGCAAAACUGAAUGAACUAAAACAUGUCAGAGCUUCUCUUUAAAAUCCUCUGUUGCAAGCACUACAUUACAUGAGAAUGGUAUUUUACACCUCACAGUGCGCUUCUACAUAACAUAGUCUCAGGGAACCCAUGCAACAGCCAGCAGAGGAAUUUAGCAUCCAUAAGUGAUCAAGCAAAGUCACACAGCUGCUGAGAGCUAGAACUGACACUUGAAUACUGUGUGUGCAUGUGAGAGAGAGAGAGAAUGACUUGGGGUGGGGUUGAUCCCACUUCACUAUAUGCUCUAGAGCUGCCUCCAAGAAGUGUCGUAAACAUUCAGACUAAACUACCAGUAAAAGGCCCGGUUUUAGUUCUGCCAUCAAUUCAUGGUCAGCUUGGGCCAGUCACUUAGCCUCUAGUUCUCUGUUUCUUCAACUAUGAAAAAAGUGUGUUAAAUAGUUUUGUCUUUGAUUCUCUUUCCAUUCAAUCUGUGAUUUUCACAAUUAAUCGCAAUUAGAUACAGAAAAUCAAGCCAUGUUCUGAGGGAAGGACAUUGAAAGCAAAGAUCUCAGGAAUAUUCAGCAGUGUGCCUUUCUCCAGAGGUGGCCAUUUUGGGAAAAUCUGGCCACACCUGUCAGUCAGCUGCUGAGAAGCCCCAGGGCAAACAACAUCCAGGUGGGAUCACAGACCUGCCCCUCAGUAAACAGGCUGCCUAAAGACCCUCAGGCACACAGCUGCCACUAAUUCCAGCCAGAGACUAAGCCCCACCCACCAGAGGGAUUAGAAUCAGCUCCACCUACCAGUGGGCAGGCAUCAGCCCCUCCCAUCAGGAAGCCUACAGCAAGCCCCCCAUACCGACUUCAGCCACAAGGGGCAGACACCAGAAGUAAGAGAGGCUACAACUCUACUAUCUGUAAAAAGGUCACCACACCAAAAAACCUAUAAAAAUGAAAAGACAGAGAACUAUAACUCAGAUGAGGGAGAAAGGAAAAACCCCAGAAAAACAGCUAAGCCAUUAGGAGAUUCUCAGCCUCCAGGAAAAAGAUUUUAGAUUGUUGAUGCUAAAGAUGAUGCAAGACAUUGGAAACAAACUGGAGGCAAAGAUGGAUAACUUACAGGAAACACUAACUAAAGAGAUACAAGAUAUCAAACUGAAACAAGAAGAGAUGCAAAAUACAAUAACUGAAAUAAAAAAUUCACUAGAAGCAGCUAACAGCAGAAUACAGGAGGCAGAAGAACGAAUAAGCGAGGUGGAGGACAGAUUAGUGGAAAUUAUGGAUGCAG
rnacentral:lncRNA from 1 species